rnacentral:tRNA from 1 species
ACCUGGGUGGCUCAGUGGUUGAGCGCCUGCCUUCAGCGCAGGGCGUGAUCCUGGGGUCCCAGAUA